rnacentral:rRNA from 1 species
ACGGGAGGCAGCAGUGGGGAAUAUUGGGCAAUGGGCGAAAGCCUGACCCAGCAACGCCGCGUGAAGGAAGAAGGCCUUCGGGUUGUAAACUUCUUUUGUCAGGGACGAAGGACGUGACGGUACCUGACGAAUAAGCAACGGCUAACUACGUGCCAGCAGCCGCGGUAAUACGUAGGUUGCAAGCGUUGUCCGGAUUUACUGGGUGUAAAGGGCGUGUAGGCGGAUUUGCAAGUCAGAUGUGAAAUCCCGGGGCUCAACCCCGGAACUGCAUUUGAAACUGUAGACCUUGAGUAUCGGAGAGGCAAGCGGAAUUCCUAGUGUAGCGGUGAAAUGCGUAGAUAUUGGGAGGAACACCAGUGGCGAAGGCGACUUACUGGACUGUAACUGACGCUGAGGCGCGAAAGUGUGGGGAGCAAACAGGAUUAGAUACCCUGGUA